GUAGGGUGCAAGCAUUAAUCGGAAUUACUGGGCGUAAAGCGUGCGCAGGCGGUUUUGUAAGUCUGACGUGAAAUCCCCGGGCUCAACCUGGGAAUUGCGUUGGAGACUGCAAGGCUAGAAUCUGGCAGAGGGGGGUAGAAUUCCACGUGUAGCAGUGAAAUGCGUAGAGAUGUGGAGGAACACCGAUGGCGAAGGCAGCCCCCUGGGUCAAGAUUGACGCUCAUGCACGAAAGCGUGGGGAGCAAACAGGAUUAGAUACCCUGGUAGUCCACGCCCUAAACGAUGUCUACUAGUUGUCGGGUUUUAAUUAACUUGGUAACGCAGCUAACGCGUGAAGUAGACCGCCUGGGGAGUACGGUCGCAAGAUUA
rnacentral:rRNA from 1 species